AUUGAACGCUGGCGGCAGGCCUAACACAUGCAAGUCGAACGAGUGGCGGACGGGUGAGUAAUGUCUGGGAAACUGCCCGAUGGAGGGGGGUAACUCCUGGAAACGGUAGCUAAUACCGCAUACCAUCGGAUGUGCCCAGAUGGGAUUAGCUAGUAGGUGGGGUAACGGCUCACCUAGGCGACGGUCCAUAGCUGGUCUGAGAGGAUGACCGGCAACACUGGAACUGAGACACGGUCCAGGCUCCUACGGGAGGCAGAAGUGGGGAAUAUUGCACACUGGGCGAAAGCCUGAUGCAGCCAUGCCGCGUGUAUGAAGAAGGCCUUCGGGUUGUAAAGUACUUUCAGCGAGGAGGCGUUACUCGCAGAAGAAGCACCGGCUAACUCCGUGCCAGCAGCCGCGGUAAUUC
rnacentral:rRNA from 1 species